ACAGCAGUAGCCGCGGGAAUACGUAGGUGGCAAGCGUUGUCCGGAAUUAUUGGGCGUAAAGGGCUCGCAGGCGGUUUCUUAAGUCUGAUGUGAAAGCCCCCGGCUCAACCGGGGAGGGUCAUUGGAAACUGGGAAACUUGAGUGCAGGAGAGGAGAGUGGAAUUCCACGUGUAGCGGUGAAAUGCGUAGAGAUGUGGAGGAACACCAGUGGCGAAGGCGACUCUCUGGUCUGUAACUGACGCUGAGGAGCGAAAGCGUGGGGAGCGAACAGGAUUAGAUACCCGUGUAGUCCCUGUCUCUUAUAC
rnacentral:rRNA from 1 species